AACGAACGCUGGUGGCAGGCUUAACACAUGCAAGUCGAGCGCCCCGCAAGGGGAGCGGCAGACGGGUGAGUAACGCGUGGGAAUCUACCCAUCUCUACGGAAUAACGCAUGGAAACGUGUGCUAAUACCGUAUACGUCCUUCGGGAGAAAGAUUUAUCGGAGAUGGAUGAGCCCGCGUUGGAUUAGCUAGUUGGUGGGGUAAAGGCCUACCAAGGCGACGAUCCAUAGCUGGUCCGAGAGGAUGAUCAGCCACACUGGGACUGAGACACGGCCCAGACUCCUACGGGAGGCAGCAGUGGGGAAUAUUGGACAAUGGGCGCAAGCCUGCUCCAGCCAUGCCGCGUGAGUGAUGAAGGCCCUAGGGUUGUAAAGCUCUUUCACCGGUGAAGAUAAUGACGGUAACCGGAGAAGAAGCCCCGGCUAACUUCGUGCCAGCCGCCGCCGUAAAAC
rnacentral:rRNA from 1 species